ensembl:snRNA U4 U4 spliceosomal RNA
AGCUUUGCGCAGUGCCAGAAUCAUAGCCAAUGAGGUUUAUCCAAGGCACAAUUAUUGGUAAUUAAAAAUGCAAAUAAGGAUUCUAAUCAGACCUUGGGGUCAUUAGGACUAUAAAAGACCUUGGAAAUUGUAUUACGGCUUGCUAAGA